rnacentral:rRNA from 1 species
CUCUGUGGCCGUACCACCCUGCACAUGCCCAGUCUUGUCUCAUCUCAGAGGCUAAGCAGGGCCAGGACUCGUUAGUACUUGGAGACCACCUGGGAAUACCAGGUUGAAGGGA